AGACGAACCGUACAAACGUUAUUCGGAAUCACUGGGCUUAAAGGGUGCGUAGGCGGCAUGGCAAGUUGGGUGUGAAAUCCCUCGGCUCAACCGAGGAAUGGCGCCCAAAACUGCCUUGCUUGAGGGAGAUAGAGGUGAGCGGAACUACGGGUGGAGCGGUGAAAUGCGUUGAUAUCCGUAGGAACACCGGUGGCGAAAGCGGCUCACUGGGUCUCUUCUGACGCUGAGGCACGAAAGCUAGGGUAGCGAACGGGAUUAGAAACCCCAGUAGUCC
rnacentral:rRNA from 1 species